rnacentral:rRNA from 1 species
AGUGAACGCUGGCGGCGUGCCUAACACAUGCAAGUCGAACGGCAGCACGGGGCAACCUGGUGGCGAGUGGCGAACGGGUGAGUAAUACAUCGGAACGUGCCCAAUCGUGGGGGAUAACGUAGCGAAAGUUACGCUAAUACCGCAUACGAUCUACGGAUGAAAGCGGGGGAUCGCAAGACCUCGCGCGAAUGGAGCGGCCGAUGUCAGAUUAGGUAGUUGGUGGGGUAAAGGCUCACCAAGCCAACGAUCUGUAGCUGGUCUGAGAGGACGACCAGCCACACUGGAACUGAGACACGGUCCAGACUCCUACGGGAGGCAGCAGUGGGGAAUUUUGGACAAUGGGCGCAAGCCUGAUCCAGCCAUUCCGCGUGCAGGAUGAAGGCCCUCUGGGUUGUAAACUUCUUUUGAGUGGGAAGAAAACUGUGAAUGCGUUUGCAGCUGACGGUACCACUAGAAUAAGCACCGGCUAACUCCGUGCCAGCAGCCGCGGUAAU